GCUUGUCUCAAAGAUUAAGCCAUGCAUAUCUAAGAAUAACUAACAUUAUCUUGAAUCUGUGAAUGGCUCAUUAUAUCAGUUAUAGUUUACAUGAUAGUCAAUACUACUUGGAUAACCGUAGUAAUUCUAGAGCUAAUACAUGCACCCAUGCCCGACUUUGUGGAAGGGUUGUGUUUAUUAGUUACAGAACCAACCCAGGCUCUGCCUGGUCUUGUGGUGAUUCAUAAUAACCGAACGAAUCGUAUGGCAUCAGCUGGCGAUGAAUCAUUCAAGUUUCUGACCUAUCAGCUUCCGACGGUAGGGUAUUGGCCUACCGUGGCAAUGACGGGUAACGGAGAAUUAGGGUUCGAUUCCGGAGAGGGAGCCUGAGAAACGGCUACCACAUCUAAGGAAGGCAGCAGG
rnacentral:rRNA from 1 species